rnacentral:rRNA from 1 species
CGGACGGGUGGGUAAUGUCUGGGAAACUGCCCGAUGGAGGGGGAUAACUGCUGGAAACGGUAGCUAAUACCGCAUAACGUCGCAAGACCAAAGAGGGGGACCUUCGGGCCUCUUGCCAUCGGAUGUGCCCAGAUGGGAUUAGCUAGUAGGUGGGGUAACGGCUCACCUAGGCGACGAUCCCUAGCUGGUCUGAGAGGAUGACCAGCCACACUGGAACUGAGACACGGUCCAG